AGUGAACGCUGGCGGUAGGCCUAACACAUGCCAGUCGAACGGCAGCACAGUAAGAGCUUGCUCUUACGGGUGGCGAGUGGCGGACGGGUGAGGAAUACAUCGGAAUCUACUUUUUCGUGGGGGAUAACGUAGGGAAACUUACGCUAAUACCGCAUACGACCUACGGGUGAAAGCAGGGGAUCUUCGGACCUUGCGCGAUUGAAUGAGCCGAUGUCGGAUUAGCUAGUUGGCGGGGUAAAGGCCCACCAAGGCGACGAUCCGUAGAUGGUCUGAGAGGAUGAUCAGCCACACUGGAACGGAGACACGGUCCAGACGCCUACGGGAGGCAGCAGUGGGGAAUAUUAGACAAUGGGCGCAAGCCUGAUCCAGCCAUACCGCGUGGGUGAAGAAGGCCUUCGGGUUGUAAAGCCCUUUUGUUGGGAAAGAAAAGCAGCAGGUUAAUACCCCGCUGUUCUGACGGUACCCAAAGAAUAAGCACCGGCUAACUUCGUG
rnacentral:rRNA from 1 species